AGUGAACGCUGGCGGUAGGCCUAAAACAUGCAAGUCGAACGGCAGCACAGUAAGAGCUUGCUCUUACGGGUGGCGAGUGGCGGACGGGUGAGGAAUACAUCGGAAUCUACUUUUUCGUGGGGGAUAACGUAGGGAAACUUACGCUAAUACCGCAUACGACCUACGGGUGAAAGCAGGGGAUCUUCGGACCUUGCGCGAUUGAAUGAGCCGAUGUCGGAUUAGCUAGUUGGCGGGGUAAAGGCCCACCAAGGCGACGAUCCGUAGCUGGUCUGAGGGGAUGAUCAGCCACACUGGAACUGAGACACGGUCCAGACUCCUACGGGAGGCAGCAGUGGGGAAUAUUGGACAAUGGGCGCAAGCCUGAUCCAGCCAUACCGCGUGGGUGAAGAAGGCCUUCGGGUUGUAAAGCCCUUUUGUUGGGAAAGAAAAGCAGCAGGUUAAUACCCCGCUGUUCUGACGGUACCCAAAGAAUAAGCACCGGCUAACUUCGUG
rnacentral:rRNA from 1 species